UACGUAGGGUGCGAGCGUUAAUCGGAAUUACUGGGCGUAAAGCGUGCGCAGGCGGUUCGCCAAGUCAGGUGUGAAAUCCCCGGGCUUAACCUGGGAAUUGCGCUUGAAACUAGCGGGCUUGAGUGCGGCAGAGGGGGGUGGGAAGUCCAACGUGUUAGCAGUGAAAUGCGUAGAGAUGUGGAGGAACACCGGUGGCGAAGGCGGCAUCCUGGACCGACACUGACGCUGAUGAGCGAAAGCCAGGGGAGCAAACGGG
rnacentral:rRNA from 1 species